UACGUAGGGUGCGAGCGUUGUCCGGAAUUAUUGGGCGUAAAGAGCUUGUAGGCGGUUUGUCGCGUCUGCUGUGAAAAUCCGGGGCUCAACCCCGGACUUGCAGUGGGUACGGGCAGGCUAGAGUGUGGUAGGGGAGACUGGAAUUCCUGGUGUAGCGGUGAAAUGCGCAGAUAUCAGGAGGAACACCGAUGGCGAAGGCAGGUCUCUGGGCCACUACUGACGCUGAGAAGCGAAAGCAUGGGGAGCGGACAGG
rnacentral:rRNA from 1 species